UGAGUGCGUGCGUGCGGGUGUGCGUGUGUGUGUAUCUACAUAUAUGUGGCUUGGAGGUGAGAAGAGACUUUGGGACAGAGACUUGUCAGUCCAGCUGAACUCCACGGUAUUAUGGUCCCUUCUGUCUGGACUACAUUUCCCAAUGGCACCAGCGAGAGCUGGGCCGUCGCCCCUUUGUGUCCUCCGAGAACCCUGGCAACAGAGGAGCUUCUUUCCCGCCCCCACCCCUUCCUACCCCGAGGCUAGAUUCCAAUUUAAGGGCAGCGGGUGUGGCAGCCUGAGUGGAGGAGAUUCCAGAGGCUUCAGGGAAGAGGCGAGAUCUUUCUGCAGUUCCUUCUGCCUGUAGGGAGUGGUCAGCGUGUCUCCGAGACUCUGGUCUUUAGGUCCUCUGGGCGUCCCUGGGAGUAAGAGAGUAGUUGGUACAGUUUGAGACUGUCACCAGAUGUGAACUAUGCCUGGUCCCUUUCUCUUUCCCACUUGUUUACGGUCGUGGAGCCUCUUUGUGACCAAGAUGUGAGACCGUUGUUAGGGAUGCCAGCCUAUGGCACCAGAGCGUCUGAGACUUGGAGGUAUAGGAGAGGGCUAAACAUCUGAUACCGUGUACACCCACGGCCUUUAACUGUGGCACGUGUGCGACAGUGGCUGGCAAUAUGUUUGAGACUGUGAGGGUCCUGAAACUUGUCACCCAGUAUCUUUUCAGGCUAAGUGGUGACAGUAUGCUACGAGUUUCUGAAUCACUCUUCUGAUGGAGAGGAUGAUUAACGCUUAUUUAAUCUUAGUGACUUAUUUAUUCAAGGUGUAUCUUUAUCUAAACACCACGCAUCUCUUUAUCUGUAAGCUGUGUAAAUUUGCUGCCCAAGUAAUAAAUUGGAAAUGAACUUAGGCAUGGAUUAUAUCGUGUGCAAACAAAUCGCUACGUCUCCGUCUUGCUCUGUCUACUGAAGGGAAGGUUGGGGCCGGAGGAAGAAACAUAGAAUGGAGAUGGUGACCUUCAGAGAUGUGGCAAUAGACUUCUCCCAAGAGGAACGGGAUUGCCUGAAUCCUUCUCAAAGGCAUUUGUACAGUCAUGUGAUGUUGGAGAGCUAUAGAAUCUUGGUGUCUCUGGGCUGGGAGCCUGUGUAUGAGACUGAAGAGUUAAUCCCAAAGCAGGAACUCUAUGAAGAAGAGUCAUCCAGAAAGAUAAUAGAAGAACUUAGAAGUCUUGGCCUGGAGUAUCCCAGUUUGGUGGGAGAAUGGAGCCAGGGUCAUCAUUUCAAGAGGCAAU
rnacentral:sRNA from 1 species